rnacentral:rRNA from 1 species
UGACGAGUUUGAUCCUGGCUCAGGAUGAACGCUAGCGGCAGGCUUAACACAUGCAAGUCGAGGGGUAUAGUUCUUCGGAGCUAGAGACCGGCGCACGGGUGCGUAACGCGUAUGCAAUCUACCUUUACAGAGGGAUAGCCCAGAGAAAUUUGGAUUAAUACCUCAUAGUAUGUGAGAAUCGCAUGGUUUUCACAUUAAAGUUCCAACGGUAAAACGAUGAGCAUGCGUCCCAUUAGCUAGAUGGUAAGGUAACGGCUUACCAUGGCG